rnacentral:rRNA from 1 species
GGAACUGCAUUCGAUACUCCCGUGCUAGAGUAAUGGAGAGGUAAGUGGAAUUCCUAGUGUAGCGGUGAAAUGCGUGGAUAUCAGGAGGAACAUCAAUGGCGAAGGCAACUUACUGGACAUUUACUGACGCUCAGACACGAAGGCUAGGGUAGCGAAAGGGAUUAGAUACCCCUGUAGUCCUAGCAGUAAACGGUGCUCGCUUGGUGUGGGAGGAUUCGACCCCUUCUGUGCCGGAGCUAACGCGUUAAGCGAGCCGCCUGGGAAGUACGGUCGCAAGACUAAAACUCAAAGAAAUUGACGGGGACCCGCACAAGCGGUGGAGUAUGUGGCUUAAUUCGAUGCAACGCGAAGAACCUUACCUGGUCUUGACAUGCACUGUGUCUCCGGUGAAAGCCGGAUAGAGUAGCAAUACUCGCUUUGCACAGGUGCUGCAUGGCUGUCGUCAGCUCGUGUCGUGAGAUGUUGGGUUAAGUCCCGCAACGAGCGCAACCCUUGUGAUUAGUUGCCAGCGGGUAAUGCCGGGAACUCUAGUCAGACUGCCCAGAUCAACUGGGAGGAAGGUGGGGACGACGUCAGGUCAGUAUGGCCCUUACGCCUAGGGCUGCACACGUACUACAAUGCCCAGUACAAUGAGAACCGAGACCGCGAGGUGGAGGAAAUCUGCAAAACUGGGCCCAGUUCGGAUUGGAGGCUGCAACUCGCCUCCAUGAAGUUGGAAUCGCUAGUAAUGGCACAUCAGCUACGGUGCCGUGAAUACGUUCCCGGGUCUUGUACACACCGCCCGUCACAUCAUGGAAGCCGGUCGCACCCGAAGUAUCUGCGCUAACUUUCGAGAAGCAGGAUCCUAAGGUGAGGCUGGUAACUGGGAUGAAGUCGUAACAAGGUAGCCGUAGGGGAACCUGCGGCUG